CUAGUUUGAUUUGUCUUCAAAACACAUAAAUAUUUCACCUUUUCCUAAAUAUUUCUGUGGAGAGGAUCAAUAAGAGUUUAGAAUGCAUGUGUAAGAUGUUGUUUAUUAAUGCUU